CUCAAGACUUGGCUCAUGGACAGACACAGGACUCCCUCUUUUUCAGGCAAAAGAUGGCCUUGCAGAAGAAGAGGUGUCUGCAAGUCAUCCUGCUGCUCACAGUGGCUCUUGCUGGUGGUUACUGCUGGACUUUGCUGCCAGUGUGGAGCACAUGCGCCAAGAGACUGGUGGAGGAGCUGACACGUGUGUCUUUAGUGCACCUGGAGACCCUGCGGUAAGAGACGUGUCCUGAGCUGCAAUUGGGUCUGUGCGGAAGCAUUGGCCGCCCUCGUGCUCCCUGCACGCCUUUUCCUAACGGCCGGGCGUCUGUACCUCCCUCCUGCCU